rnacentral:lncRNA from 1 species
CCUCACUGCAGUGGUUCUGAGCUUCAGCAGGCAUAGAGGAGCAUCAGCUGAGUGGGGCUGGUACCAGGGAACUGGAAAGCUUCUUGGGAAAGGGUAGGUGGAGGGCAUGUCAGUAUGAAGGGCAAAUGAAGAAAGCAAAGAAUUAUGGUGGCAUAAGCUACUACUUUCAAUGAAAUGAUGACCAGUAGGCUGUUUGACUGGGACCUUUAUAGACUGGCAACUGAGCAGAAAGGCUCUGAGUCAGACCCUGAAGCUACUAUACCUGCUAAGGUGGAAGUACAUAUUCCCCUGAGCCCUCAGUUGACUGGUCUGGUACUGCCUGUAACUCAUGGCUGACCUGGACCAAGAGACCUUCUGUCACUACAGUGCCAUUUAGCAAGAAGGCUGGUGAUAAAAGCAUUGUGGGAAAGACCACUUGAGAAGUGACCCAUCACGGAGCUAAGAAGGCUGAAAUCUGGGCAUGCCAUUCCAACUGUCUGUUCUUCCUGGGUCC